rnacentral:rRNA from 1 species
AAUAGCGCGGUGGUCCCACCUGACCCCAUGCCGAACUCAGAAGUGAAACGCCGUAGCGCCGAUGGUAGUGUGGGGUCUCCCCAUGCGAGAGUAGGACACCGCCAGGC